GCCUUCGUGGUACAGUGUCAACACGCUCGACGCGUAAUCGAGAGGUCCAAGGUUCGAUUCCUGGCAAAGGCG
rnacentral:tRNA from 1 species